rnacentral:rRNA from 1 species
GACGAACGCUGGCGGCGUGCUUAACACAUGCAAGUCGAACGCUGAAGCUUGGUGCUUGCCCUGGGUGGAUGAGUGGCGAACGGGUGAGUAAUACGUGAGUAACCUGCCCUUGACUCUGGGAUAAGCCUGGGAAACUGGGUCUAAUACUGGAUACGACAUGUCACCGCAUGGUGGUGUGUGGAAAGGGUUUUACUGGUUUUGGAUGGGCUCACGGCCUAUCAGCUUGUUGGUGGGGUAAUGGCUCACCAAGGCGACGACGGGUAGCCGGCCUGAGAGGGUGGCCGGCCACACUGGGACUGAGACACGGCCCAGACUCCUACGGGAGGCAGCAGUGGGGAAUAUUGCACAAUGGGCGGAAGCCUGAUGCAGCGACGCCGCGUGAGGGAUGACGGCCUUCGGGUUGUAAACCUCUUUCAGCACGGAAGAAGCGAAAGUGACGGUACGUGCAGAAGAAGCGCCGGCUAACUACGUG